AUUGAACGCUGGCGGCGUGCUUAACACAUGCAAGUCGAACGGAGUGGCGAACGGGUGAGUAACACGUGGGUGAUCUGCCCUGUACUUCGGGAUAAGCUUGGGAAACUGGGUCUAAUACCGGAUAGUAUGGGAUGAUCUCGCGGCCUAUCAGCUUGUUGGUGGGGUAAUGGUCUACCAAGGCGUCGACGGGUAGCCGGCCUGAGAGGGUGUACGGCCACAUGAGGACUGAGAUACGGCCCAGACUCGUACGGGAGGCAGCGGUGGGGAAUAGUGCCCAAUGGGGGCAAGCCUGAUGCAGCGGCGCCGCGUGGGGGAAGAAGGCCUUCGGGUUGUAAACGCCUUUCGCUAGAGACGCGGUACCUGGAGAAGAAGCACCGGCUAACUACGUGCCAGCAGCCGCGGUAAUUC
rnacentral:rRNA from 1 species